AUUGAACGCUGGCGGCAUGCUUUACACAUGCAAGUCGAACGGCAGCGCGGGCUUCGGCCUGGCGGCGAGUGGCGAACGGGUGAGUAAUGCAUCGGAACGUGCCCAGUCGUGGGGGAUAGCCCGGCGAAAGCCGGAUUAAUACCGCAUACGACCUGAGGGUGAAAUCGGGGGACCGAACGGCCUCGCGCUAUUGGAGCGGCCGAUGUCGGAUUAGCUAGUUGGUGGGGUAAAGGCUUACCAAGGCGACGAUCCGUAGCUGGUCUGAGAGGACGACCAGCCACACUGGGACUGAGACACGGCCCAGACUCCUACGGGAGGCAGCAGUGGGGAAUUUUGGACAAUGGGGGCAACCCUGAUCCAGCCAUGCCGCGUGCGAGAAGAAGGCCUUCGGGUUGUAAACCGCUUUUGUUCGGGAAGAAAUCCUCUGGGCUAAUACCCCGGGGGGAUGACGGUACCGGAAGAAUAAGCACCGGCUAACUACGUG
rnacentral:rRNA from 1 species